AUGAAUGCACUGAGAGCAGCUCACAAAGAGGAGAUGGAGAAGGUCAUGAAGUUGUCUGGAGGAGAUUCAUCAUACAGAGAGCACAUGCCUCGGUCUGCAACGUUAAACAGUGAAUCAGAUUUAUUAUCGCAACACUAUUCUUCGACCUGCCUGGAGUUCAGCUCUAAGCAAACCUACAGGAGCCAUGACAACAACCUCAGGCCCACGGAGAGUGAGCUGGUGAAGCUCAGAAGAGAAAACCAGGUGUAUACACAAGGCUUAGUGUUUUUUUUAUUAAAAACUUAGUCAUUAGAAAUGGGUUUUUAUUAUCAAUAUCAUAAGAUGUAUUAAUAUUUAUAGGGAGUCCUUACAUAUUUGUGAAAAUAUAAUUGUCUUUGAAAUAUGAUAUCUUUCUUCAGGAUCUUAAGGCCAAACUUGUAGAGGAAACCAGCCGCAUGCGCUGCUUCAUUACAGGUCAAAGAAUGGACAUGGUGUGUCAAAACAGAGCUGAGCACACUGUGUCAGAAGUAGAGGUACUGACAAUAAUUUGCUGUUGAGAUAUGCAACUUCAUGUCAUUGGAAUAAAAAUGUGAAUUUAAUGUCUAUAAGACAUGAGUGCAGCUGAAGCCUCUUUAUUAAUGCACCCGAAUUACUUUGGCCACAGGGAGAAAAUGUCACUGCUGUAAAAAGCUAAAUUUGGCUGAAUGUGUUAUGGGAUUUUAAACCCUUUCUAAAACAUUGUUGCAGCAUUUCAGGCCUUUGUCUUUUAUCCUAAUUAGUUGGUCCCUAUAGUAACUGCAGAGAUUCAUUUUUUAUUUGGCCUCACCCUGUCACACCGAGUAUUUGCAGACAGGGCCAUCUACUGACUAUCAAACACAUUCCACAAUAGUUUUCUUUACCUUUUACAUCAUUAUUUAUUGAUUUACAGUAUUCUGCGUGACUCGGUUUCUGCAUGUGAAUAGAGGUCUGUUUGUACCAGUAUUUAUUUAAAAGUGACAAUUCAAUAUGUAAUAAAAUUUCAUUUUAUUUUAUUGAUGAAGUCAUGUAUUAUAUUCCAGAUGCUACUAAGAGCAAAAGAGAAUGAAGUGGUCCAUCUUAAAAAAGAAAUCAGCUGCUUGCAGAGUGAGAUACAAUCUCUCAAAGGUAUGUUUCAUAACUUGAACUAUUAUGCCAUAAAAUUAGUAAAACCAGUUGAAUGUCACAGUUUGUACUGACAUGUGUGCUUUUCUGUUUAAACCCUGGCUCUAGGAAAAUGGGGCAGUCUUUGACAAUGCUGAACUUCAGGAAACAGUUGCAAGACAAAGCUGAGCAACAAUGACCUUUACAUUUAACGCAAAAUAAGGGCAAAAAAUGUGCACUUACAAAAACACAUGAAAUACUUUUUUAUCCAUAUGUAAUUUAUUUUAUUUAGAUAGAUGACCAAAUGGAAACAGGAGUGAUGGUGUAUCUAGUAGUUGAUGUUGUAGCUACACAUAGUAUUAGAGUUUACAAUUAUUUCUAAAAAGAAAACCCGCAAAAAAACAUGA